CUCUGUUGUUAGGGAAGAACAAGUGCCGUUCGAAUAGGGUGGUACCUUGACGGUACCUAACCAGAAAGCCACGGCUAACUACGUGCCAGCAGCCGCGGUAAUACGUAGGUGGCAAGCGUUGUCCGGAAUUAUUGGGCGUAAAGGGCUCGCAGGCGGUUCCUUAAGUCUGAUGUGAAAGCCCCCGGCUCAACCGGGGAGGGUCAUUGGAAACUGGGGAACUUGAGUGCAGAAGAGGAGAGUGGAAUUCCACGUGUAGCGGUGAAAUGCGUAGAGAUGUGGAGGAACACCAGUGGCGAAGGCGACUCUCUGGUCUGUAACUGACGCUGAGGAGCGAAAGCGUGGGGAGCGAACAGGAUUAGAUACCCUGGUAGUCCACGCCGUAAACGAUGAGUGCUAAGUGUUAGGGGGU
rnacentral:rRNA from 1 species